rnacentral:misc_RNA from 1 species
GAUGAAGAACGUAGCGAAAUGCGAUAAGUAAUGUGAAUUGCAGAAUUCAGUGAAUCAUCGAAUCUUUGAACGCACAUUGCGCCCGCCAGUAUUCUGGCGGGCAUGCCUGUUCGAGCGUCAUUUCAACCAUCAAGCCCGGCUUGUGUUGGGGCCCUGCGGCUGUCCGCAGGCCCUUAAAACCAGUGGCGGGCUCGCUGUCACUCCGAGCGCAGUAAUACAUCUCGCUUUGGUCGUACAGCGGGUACCGGCCGUUAAACACCCCCCUUUUUAUCAAGGUUGACCUCGGAUCAGGUAGGAAUACCCGCUGAACUUAAGCAUAUCAAUAAGCGGAGGA